rnacentral:lncRNA from 1 species
AAUAAUCAUACUUUGCGCUCUUGUAGCUCUCUACAUAUUGAAAGGACAGAGAGUCGGAGGGGGGAGCGACUGGAUCACGUCACACGAGCUCAAUACCAGGGGGAAGAGACGCCACCAUCAAGCUGUCACUCGCCAAACUCAGGAAUGGUGCGACCAAGUCAAAGCCUCAGAAACCUGCAUUCCCACUGAUGGGCAGAGGAUUUAGCAUUGAUGAAUGACCCAAAUGGCGAACAAUCGCUACGGCCGACUGUCUGGCUAAGUGGUGAAGAAGAGGAUUUUAAGCACCCCAAAGGCAAGCAAUAUGAAGUUAUUAUUCUCACAGGAACUGAAACCUGACCCCUCCUGGACCUUACACGUAUCUAUUAGGUGGUUUUAAGAAUGCCUUAAUAUUACAGAUGGGCCCAGGAAGUGCUGUUAAGAUCUGGAUGAGCUUUAGGCUAGGGGGAUCAGAGUAAAGGUUAAAUCAGAGCUAGGGCUCACUGAAAUCUCA